CUUCACCGAACCGAGCCACAACGGCUGCUCGUCGGCGCGGUCCUGUCCGUAGGUGGCCAGGAGGGCCUGGGCCUC
rnacentral:antisense_RNA from 1 species